rnacentral:rRNA from 1 species
CGUAGGCGCAAGCGUUGUCCGGAAUUAUUGGGCGUAAAGAGCUCGUAGGCGGUUUGUCGCGUCUGCUGUGAAAGCCCGGGCUUAACCCCGGGUGUGCAGUGGUACGGGCAGACUAGAGUGCAGUAGGGAGACUGGAAGUUCCUGGUGUAGCGGUGGAAUGCGCAGAUAUCAGGAGGAACACCGAUGGCGAAGGCAGGUCUCUGGGCUGUUACUGACGCUGAGGAGCGAAAGCAUGGGAGCGAACAGGAUU